UUAGAGGCAAACGGGUGGACCCGCAAUACGUCGACCCGGGGGAUUCAACCAGGCCGUGCGUUCGGGACGCGUGGGGGUUAUGCGGAGCUGUAAAGCCCGUGCCUUUGCGCAGGUCUCCGGGCGGACUGGUGCACUUUCCUCGGGUCGAUUGCCACGACCGGCUCUCCGUGCGGCCACAAGCCUUUGCUGGGAAGGUGACCGUCGGCCUCGCGCCGGCGGUGUUAUAGACCAGCUCGUUCGUUGAGCUCGUCGGAGGGCCGAGGAAGUGUUGCCGUUUCUCGUCCACCCUCCGGCCAUCCUUGCUCGUCACGACUGGGGUGAACUGCUUCGUCAGUGCUCUCCCGACCGCGAGCGUAGGAAGGGCUGGUACGGUGCGAGAAAGCUUCGGGCCAGUGGCGAAUCGGUCGGUCCUCCACCCGACCCGUCUUGAA
rnacentral:rRNA from 1 species